AACGAACGCUGGCGGCAUGCCUAACACAUGCAAGUCGAACGAGACCUUCGGGUCUAGUGGCGCACGGGUGCGUAACGCGUGGGAACCUGCCCUUAGGUUCGGACUAACUCCCCGAAAGGGGUGCUAAUACCGGAUAAUAUCUUCGGACCAAAGAUUUAUCGCCUUUGGAUGGGCCCGCGUUGGAUUAGCUAGUUGGUAGGGUAAAAGCCUACCAAGGCGACGAUCCAUAGCUGGUCUGGGAAGAUGAUCAGCCACACUGGGACUGAGACACGGCCCAGACUCCUACGGGAAGCAGCAGUGGGGAAUAUUGGACAAUGGGCGAAAGCCUGAUCCAGCAAUGCCGCGUGAGUGAUGAAGGCCCUAGGGUUGUAAAGCUCCUUUACCCGGGAUGAUAAUGACAGUACCGUGAGAAUAAGCCCCGGCUAACUCCGUU
rnacentral:rRNA from 1 species